rnacentral:sRNA from 1 species
GCUGGGCGUGGUGUUUUGCACGCCUGUAAUCCCUGCGGCUCGGGAGGCUGAGAUGGGAGGAUAGCAAGUUCAAAGCCAGCCUCAGCAAUGGUGAGGCACUAAGCAACUCAGUUGAGACCCUGUCUCUAAAUAAAAUAUAAAAUAGAGCUGGGGAUGUGGCUCAGUUGCUGAGUGCCUCUGAGUUUAAUCCCUAGUUCUU